AGCUCAAAUUUGAAAUCUGGCCCCUAGGGCCCGAGUUGUAAUUUGCAGAGGAUGCUUUUGGCGAGGUGCCUUCCGAGUUCCCUGGAACGGGACGCCAUAGAGGGUGAGAGCCCCGUCUGGUUGGACGCCGAGCCUCUGUAAAGCUCCUUCGACGAGUCGAGUAGUUUGGGAAUGCUGCUCUAAAUGGGAGGUAUAUGUCUUCUAAAGCUAAAUACCGGCCAGAGACCGAUAGCGCACAAGUAGAGUGAUCGAAAGAUGAAAAGCACUUUGAAAAGAGGGUUAAACAGUACGUGAAAUUGUUGAAAGGGAAGCGCUCAUGACCAGACUUGGGCCCGGUGAAUCAUCCAGCGUUCUCGCUGGUGCACUUUGCCGGGCUCAGGCCAGCAUCAGUUUGCCUUGGGGGACAAAGGCUGUGGGAAUGUGGCUCCUCCGGGAGUGUUAUAGCCCACUGCACAAUACCCUGGGGCGGACUGAGGUUCGCGCAUCUGCAAGGAUGCUGGCGUAAUGGUCAUCAGCGACCCGUCUUGAAACACGGACCAAGGAGUCGUCUUCGUAUGCGAGUGUUCGGGUGUAAAACCCCUACGCGUAAUGAAAGUGAACGCAGGUGAGAGCUUCGGCGCAUCAUCGACCGAUCCUGAUGUUCUCGGAUGGAUUUGAGUAAGAGCAUACGGGGCCGGACCCGAAAGAAGGUGAACUAUGCCUGUAUAGGGUGAAGCCAGAGGAAACUCUGGUGGAGGCUCGCAGCGGUUCUGACGUGCAAAUCGAUCGUCAAAUAUGGGCAUGGGGGCGAAAGACUAAUCGAACC
rnacentral:rRNA from 1 species